rnacentral:rRNA from 1 species
UACGAAGGGGGCUAGCGUUGCUCGGAAUCACUGGGCGUAAAAGCGCACGUAGGCGGAUUGUUAAGUCAGGGGUGAAAUCCUGGAGCUCAACUCCAGAACUGCCUUUGAUACUGGCGAUCUCGAGUCCGGGGAGAGGUGAGUGGAACUGCGAGUGUAGAGGUGAAAUUCUAGAUAUUCGCAAGAACACCAGUGGCGAAGGCGGCUCACUGGCC